GAUGAAGAACGUAGCGAAAUGCGAUAAGUAAUGUGAAUUGCAGAAUUCAGUGAAUCAUCGAAUCUUUGAACGCACAUUGCGCCCGCCAGUAUUCUGGCGGGCAUGCCUGUUCGAGCGUCAUUUCAACCCUCAAGACCCCUUCGGGGGACUUGGUGUUGGGGACCGGCACAGGGGCCUGCCUGCUUGUCUUGCAGCGCCCUCGCCGCCCCCGAAAUGAAUUGGCGGCCUCGUCGCGGCCUCCCCUGCGUAGUAGCACAAACCUCGCAACGGGAACGUGACGGCGGCCACUGCCGUAAAACAACCCAAUUUUAUUAGAGUUGACCUCGAAUCAGGUAGGAAUACCCGCUGAACUUAAGCAUAUCAAUAAGCGGAGA
rnacentral:misc_RNA from 1 species